rnacentral:rRNA from 1 species
CGCGCAGGCGGUCAGAUAAGUCGAAUGUGAAAGCCCCCGGCUCAACUGGGGAGGGUCAUUCGAUACUGUUCGACUCGAAGGCAGGAGAGGGAAGCGGAAUUCCCGGUGUAGUGGUGAAAUGCGUAGAUAUCGGGAGGAACACCAGUGGCGAAGGCGGCUUCCUGGCCUGUUCUUGACGCUGAGGCGCGAAAGCUAGGGGAGCAAACG